AAAAAUGAGCGAAAGUUAAAAAUUUAGAGUUGGCACCAGUUCUAACUUAAACCGGUGCCAACUGAAUUUUUUACAAAAAAAAAAAAAAUAAAAAAAAAAUUAUGGGAUAGAGUUGGCACCUGUUUAAGGAGAACCGGUGCCAACUAUGGUAAUUUGCACCGGUUCAAACCGGUGCCAUUUCUUUUUAAAAAAAAACCCGGGUUUUGUUUCUUCUUCAUUCAAUACGUCGUUCUUCUUCAUAUUCAACAACGCGCGUUUCUUCUUCAUUUCUCCCGAACUCCAUUCCAUUGAAGCAGCUCACUCUCUCUCCAUUGAAGCAGCUCGCUCUCUCUCCAUUAAAGUGGUUUACGAGCUUUCUUACUCCAUUGAAGCAGCACCUCCUUCUCUCUCCAUAUCUCUAGCCUCCAUUGAACUCGUGCUCUAUAUUCUCCAUUGAAGUCGAUUCUGAGCAUUCUCACCUCCAUUGAAGCAGCUUUGAGGGUUCUGGCUUUAUUUCUAUUUUUUUCGAACAAAAUAAGUAGGAGAACUCAGUUGCGAGCCUUAUUGCGACCUAUGCACCCCUUCCCCGGUUUCAUUGUGGAGUUCUUUAGUUGUGCUCCAUCAAUCAAGGGUUUUGUUUGGCGGUGGUGGUGACAGAUUUUGCAGCAGCGGAAGGAAGACUAACUCAGUUUCAAUUUGCACAAUUUGUUGAAGACUAAAAUCGUUGGCUUCAUCUUCUUCAGGUUCUCGUUGUUCUCUUUAUUCUUGAGUUUGUGUGUUUUUUUUAGUGUUAUUAAUGUUUGGUUCUUGACUUGGGUGUGUGGAAAGACUUGUUGAUACAUUGAACUUUGAACUCCUUCUGAAGAUCAUUACCUAGGCUUGAUUAGGAGAUAGAUUAUUUUUUAUCUUCAUAUAAUUUAAAUCAUUUAUGCUUGAGAUCAUAGCCAAAUUGUAUGUAUUUGAAUUCAUUUAAUGUAGAA